AGUGAACGCUGGCGGUAGGCCUAACACAUGCAAGUCGAACGGCAGCACAGUAAGAGCUUGCUCUUACGGGUGGCGAGUGGCGGACGGGUGAGGAAUACAUCGGAAUCUACUUUUUCGUGGGGGAUAACGUAGGGAAACUUACGCUAAUACCGCAUACGACCUACGGGUGAAAGCAGGGGAUCUUCGGACCUUGCGCGAUUGAAUGAGCCGAUGUCGGAUUAUCUAGUUGGCGGGGUAAAGGCCCACCAAGGCGACGAUCCGUAGCUGGUCUGAGAGGAUGAUCAGCCACACUGGAACUGAGACACGGUCCAGACUCCUACGGGAGGCAGCAGUGGGGAAUAUUGGACAAUGGGCGCAAGCCUGAUCCAGCCAUACCGCGUGGGUGAAGAAGGCCUUCGGGUUGUAAAGCCCUUUUGUUGGGAAAGAAAAGCAGCAGGUUAAUACCCCGCUGUUCUGACGGUACCCAAAGAAUAAGCACCGGCUAACUUCGCG
rnacentral:rRNA from 1 species